rnacentral:misc_RNA from 1 species
UUUUUUUUUUUUUUUCAUUUAUCUCUCUGUUGUUAAUUUCUUAUCAUUAUUUAUUAAAUCGAACUUCCUAAAUUUGAAGCUCUUAUCCUUUCUCAAUUUUCCAAAAAGCUUUUUCUUUCGAUUUUUUAGAGUUGAAAUUAAGAAAUUUAUUGUCUAUAAUUAUUUCUCUUUUUUUAGUAUGGUUUCAAUCUCAUUCCCUUCUAUUAUUUCAUUGCUAAAACAUAUGGGGUAAGAUGACAAAUUUUGAAUUUGAGUAAUAUAAAGAAUUUUAUUUUAGAG